UACGAAGGGGGGCUAGCGUUGCUCGGAAUGACUGGGCGUAAAGGGCGCGUAGGCGGAUGGCUUUGUCGGGCGUGAAAUUCCAGGGCUUAACCUUGGGGCUGCGUUCGAGACGGGUUGUCUUGAGUGGGGAAGAGGGUCGUGGAAUUCCCAGUGUAGAGGUGAAAUUCGUAGAUAUUGGGAAGAACACCGGUGGCGAAGGCGGGUCUCUGGGCAACAACUGACGCUGAGGAGCGAAAGCGUGGGGAGCGAACAGG
rnacentral:rRNA from 1 species